AUGGCGGCUGCGCCUAAGGAGGUUUCUCAGGUUUCAUCUAGUGCGACGUCAUCUCAUCAUCGCAAUAUUAUUUGCCACAAGUGUGGAGGGCGUGGACACAUGAAGCAUGAAUGUUCCAAUCAACGAAGGGUUCUGCUAGUUGAUGCGGAAUAUAUUUCAGAAUCUGAAGAUGAGACACCUAAGUUAGAGGAUGGAAUUGAAAGAGGUCAUGGUGAUACCAUAUUAUGUUAUCCUCAAGAUGAUCCUGAUAUGGAGAGUUUGCUAGCACAUAAGGUCCAGCGAGAUGACAAGACCAUUGUUGAACAAGGACAACGACGGAGUAUUUUUCAAACUGCAUGUACCAUCAAGGGAGAAGUUUGCAAACUGGUAAUUGAUGGUGGCAGUGCUAGCAACAUGAUUAGGAAGGAUGUGGUGGAGUCUCUUGUGUUGCCAACAUGGGAGCACCCAAGGCCAUACUAUAUGAAGUGGAUAAAUGAUGUUGGUAAAGUGAAGGUAACUCACAGGGUGAAGGUUCCUUUUUCUGUUGAUGGCUAUGUUGAUAAGGUGGAAUGCGACGUUAUGCCACUACAUGUUUGUCACCUUAUUUUGGGGCGUCCGUGGCAGCAUGAUGUUAACGCUUUUCAUCAUGGACGAACAAAUAGGUACACUUUUAUGCACAGG
rnacentral:rRNA from 1 species